rnacentral:rRNA from 1 species
UACAGAGGGGGCAAGCGUUAUUCGGAAUUAUUGGGCGUAAAGGGCGCGUAGGCGGUUUUUUAAGUGAGAUGUGCAAUCCCCGAGCUUAACUUGGGAACUGCAUCUCAGACUGGAAGGCUAGAGUGCUGGAGAGGGUGGUAGAAUUCCACGUGUAGCGGUGAAAUGCGUAGAGAUGUGGAGGAAUACCAGUGGCGAAGGCGGCCACCUGGACAGUAACUGACGCUGAGGCGCGAAAGUGUGGGUAGCAAACAGG